rnacentral:tRNA from 1 species
GCGGGUAUAGUUUAGUGGUAGAAUGCGACCUUCCCAAGGUUGAGAUACGGGUUCAAUUCCCGUUACCCGCUCCA